UUUAUUGGGGGAUAGCCCGAAGAAAUUCGGAUUAAUACCGCAUAACACUAUUUGAGGGCAUCUGAAGAUAGUUAAAGCUGAGGCGAUAAAAGAUGGGCAUGCGUGCCAUUAGCUAGUUGGUGGUGGUAACGGCCCACCAAGGCGACGAUGGCUAGGGGUUNUGAGAGGAUGAUCCCCCACACUGGUACUGAGAUACGGACCAGACUCCUACGGGAGGCAGCAGUAGGGAAUAUUGGGCAAUGGCGGAAACGCUGACCCAGCCAUGCCGCGUGCCGGAUGAAGGCCUUCUGGGUUGUAAACGGCUUUUCUNUAGGAAGAAAAUACCCUUGCGAGGGGACCUGACGGUACUAGAGGAAUAAGCA
rnacentral:rRNA from 1 species